rnacentral:tRNA from 1 species
GGUCCACUAGCUCAGCUGGCAGAGCACCUGACUCUGAAUCAGUGGGUCCGGGGUUCGAGCCCCCGGUGGAUCACCA